CCAACAGUGAUUCCCACGUGCAGCCAGAGUUGAGAGCCGCACUGAGAAAGGCAGUCUUAGGCAGCACAGAUGUACUCAGAUGAGCUCUAGGAGCAAGACUGACCCCUACUCAGUCAAGGUCAAGAGGAAGAGAUCAAUUAAAACUACACUUCCACCAUGCGAGGUUAUUAGAGCAGUCUCUGGGAUCCCACAGCAUGACACGUCAGUCGCACUUGACAUAGUAGCCGCCUGCUUAACUGUUGAAGAGACAAUGGUCCUUCCUAACCUCCAGAAUUUUCCGCAGUUUCUUCACGUUGUGAUAGUUCCCUAUGGCUACAGUGCAUCCCUGUGGGGAAGUCGAGUCAGAAACUGGAAGCACCUAGACACAUCCACAGCCAAUGGCAGAGAGCGCAUGCAUGCUCACACUCAGCUCAUCUUCUAGGAAUGGAGCCACCCACUGUUUUAGGCUGGGCCAUCUCACUUCAAUUAAGGAUUUUACUAGACAGCCACAAACUGACCUUGAAAUCAUAAUUCUCCUGCCUCAGCUUCCUGACCACAGAAUUACAGAAGUAUGCCACCACUCAUGGAUCCUUUUAGCUUUUAGAGUUUUUUGUUGUUGUUGUUUUCGUUUUGUUUUGUUUUGUUUUGUUUUUUAAAGACAGUCUCACUAUGCAGCCCUGGGUGGCCUAGAACUGGUUAUACAGAGCAGGCUGGACUUGAACACAAAGAGACCCAGCUGCCUCAGUUUCCAGAAUGCUGGGGUUCAAAGUAUGAAGCACCAUGCCUGGCCUUUUAGCUAGUUUUAAUGUGUACCACCAAGCUUUAGAGCAGGUGUUUCUACUGAAGCUUAUAUAUAAGGAAACCAAGGCUCAGCCGCCUCCAUAGCGACAAGCUGUCAGUGCUGAAGUCAGCCAGACCUGCUGGGAUUCCAAGGCUGCCGCUCUGCCACAGCCCAGUCAGGCCCUCCAAAGCAGCAGCCUGUCAGAAAUGGGUCUCAGAAGCUCAACUGUGUUCUCCCACAGAAAGAGACAUCUUCCAAACAGGCCACAGGAAGCUUCCAGUACUGCAAAUGUUUCUUUCAGUGUCUCUCCAAACCACACUGGCUGCUACAAAGAGCAAGGUGCAGUUGACAAUUUAAGUGGCUUCUGGGGGGAGCUAGGCUCUUUGGGAAUGAAAGACUGUGCCUACUGCAUUGUGGGCAAGGGUCUUGCUGGCUUCUGGAUAAUUCUCUCCUCUGCUCACUGCUUCCUAAUUCCCCCUCCCCCUCUACAAAUGGCAGAUGACAAAAACUCCCGAAGAAACUUCUCAUGGCUGCAUUUGUCUGUAUCAAGGGAAAUUAAAAUACCCACAUUUCUAUGCUCUGAA